ACGUAGGGCGCAAGCGUUAUCCGGAAUUAUUGGGCGUAAAGGGUGCGUAGGUGGUUAUUUAAGCGUGAGGUGAAAGGCAAUGGCUUAACUAUAGUCAUCCUUGCGAACUGGAAGACUUGAGUGCAGGAGAGGAAAGUGGAAUUCCUAGUGUAGAGGUGAAAUGCGUAGAUAUUAGGAGGAACACCAGUGGCGAAGGCGACUUACUGGACUGUAACUGACACUGAGGCACGAAAGCGUGGGGAGCAAACAG
rnacentral:rRNA from 1 species